rnacentral:rRNA from 1 species
UACGAAGGGGGCUAGCGUUGUUCGGAAUUAUUGGGCGUAAAGGGUGCGUAGGCGGCCUGACAAGUCUGAUGUGAAAUCCCUGGGCUCAACCCAGGGCCUGCAUCGGAAACUGUCGGGCUUGAGUAUGGGAGAGGUGAGUGGAAUUCCCGGUGUAGCGGUGAAAUGCGUAGAUAUCGGAAGGAACACCUGUGGCGAAAGCGGCUCACUGGACCAUUACUGACGCUGAGGCACGAAAGCUAGGGGAGCAAACAGG